rnacentral:rRNA from 1 species
AUAUUCAGGUUCAUCGGGCUUAACCUCUAAGCAGUUUCACGUACUGUUUAACUCUCUAUUCAGAGUUCUUUUCAACUUUCCCUCACGGUACUUGUUUACUAUCGGUCUCAUGGUUAUAUUUAGUGUUUAGAUGGAGUUUACCACCCACUUAGUGCUGCACUAUCAAGCAACACUGACUCUUUGGAAACAUCAUCUAGUAAUCAUUAACGUUAUACGGGCCUGGCACCCUCUAUGGGUAAAUGGCCUCAUUUAAGAAGGACUUAAAUCGCUAAUUUCUCAUACUAGAAUAUUGACGCUCCAUACACUGCAUCUCACAUUUGCCAUAUAGACAAAGUGACUUAGUGCUGAACUGUCUUCUUUACGGUCGCCGCUACUAAGAAAAUCCUUGGUAGUUACUUUUCCUCCCCUAAUUAAUAUGCUUAAAUUCAGGGGGUAGUCCCAUAUGAGUUGAGGUUGUAUAUAACUUUAUCUUGCCAUAAAUUCUUUAUAUAUAAUGAGAAACAUUUAAUUAAAUUCGUUAUAACAUUUUUAUUAAUUCUUGUAUGCAAAGUUUUUAUUUAUCCAUUUUUAACGAACCAACGAAGAAUAAUAACAUAACCAAGAUUUUUCUAUUUCCGAAUCAUUAAUAAGAGACAAUUCUAGAUGAAAAAUAUGGGGGGGUUUUUAUGCUAGACAUUUCUCAGUAUUAUUUGAUUGAAAAAGAAAAUAUUUCUCUUCGUUUUUCACAUUCAAAUGUGAGAUAAUGUUUUUCAUUUAUUUUUUAAUAUUAUGAAUAAAAAUUAUUAUAUUUAUCCAAUAAUAUACCAUAUGCUUAUAAAAAUUUAUAAGCAACUUAAUUAGCAUAGUCUUACAACCCUCAACCAUAUGUAGUCCAAGCAGCACUAUAAAAUUAAUUAAAGUACAUAACAGCAUGGACUGCGAUAUGCGUUCAAAAUGUCGAUGUUCAUGUGUCCUGCAGUUCACACGAUGACGCACAGUUUGCUGCGUUCUUCAUCGACCCAUGAGCCGAGUG